rnacentral:rRNA from 1 species
UACAGAGGGUGCGAGCGUUGUUCGGAAUCAUUGGGCGUAAAGCGCUUGUAGGCGGCCUGUCAAGUCGCGUGUGAAAUCCCCUGGCUUAACCAGGGAAGUGCGCGCGAAACUGGCGGGCUUGAGUGCCGGAGAGGGUCGCGGAAUUCCCGGUGUAGAGGUGAAAUUCGUAGAUAUCGAGAGGAACACCUGUGGCGAAGGCGGCCAACUGGACGAGUACUGACGCUGAGACACGAAAGCGUGGGGAGCAAACAGG